GUUUAGGGGUGGACCUGAUGUCCCUGAGUGUAUGUGGUGAACCUGAAUUUGCCUUGGGUUUCCUCAUAUUCAUUCAGGAGUGUCAGUUGCCCCUUCAC
ensembl:miRNA MIR670 microRNA 670